UGAACGGAGAGUUCGAUCCUGGCUCAGGAUGAACGCUGGCGGCGCGCCUAACACAUGCAAGUCGAACGGUUAAAGCACCUCCGGGUGUGCAUAAAGUGGCGAACGGCUGAGUAACACGUGGGCAACCUGCCCCUCGCUCCGGGACAGCCUCGGGAAACCGUGGGUAAUACCGGAUACUCCGCGGCCCCCGCAUGGGGGCGGCGGGAAAGCCCAGACGGCGAGGGAUGGGCCCGCGGCCUGUUAGCUAGUUGGUGGGGCAACGGCCCACCAAGGCGGUCAACGUGGUGGUCACCGCCAGCGCCGGCGGCGACACCGACUUCAACGCCCGCACCUUUGCCACCUAUUUUGAAAAGGU
rnacentral:rRNA from 1 species